rnacentral:lncRNA from 1 species
UCAUGGAGAGGCUGUUGUACCUGAAGUCUUGUUGGUUGUCAGAGUCAGCAGUUGUGAAGGAGGGCUGCACUGGAUAGAGUAGAAUUGAGUGGAAAUAAACUAGGACUCAUCAGGAUAAACUGGAACUCAUGAGGAUAAAUUAGAACUCAAAUCUGAUUUUCACAACCUCUAACCUGGCCUAAGGGACCUACAGGAGAAUGUAGUGCCCUUUGUCACAGAGUUGCUAGUGCACUUGUUCCAGAACGUGAAAAUUCUGAAACGGAAGAUCCAGUAGGAUCUGGAGGGCUUCUCAGCCUGGCUGCUGCCACAUACCAACAAGCUGCCCUAACCAGGAACCAUACCAGCAGAGCAUUCGGAGAAAAGUACUUUCAGCUUAACCUAAGCUGAUACAGA